CCUACGGGAGGCAGCAGUGAGGAAUAUUGGUCAAUGGACGAGAGUCUGAACCAGCCAAGUAGCGUGAAGGAUGACUGCCCUAUGGGUUGUAAACUUCUUUUAUAUGGGAAUAAAAUGUUCCACGUGUGGGAUUUUGUAUGUACCAUAUGAAUAAGGAUCGGCUAACUCCGUGCCAGCAGCCGCGGUAAUACGGAGGGUCCGAGCGUUAUCCGGAUUUAUUGGGUUUAAAGGGAGCGUAGGUGGAUUGUUAAGUCAGUUGUGAAAGUUUGCGGCUCAACCGUAAAAUUGCAGUUGAAACUGACAGUCUUGAGUACAGUAGAGGUGGGCGGAAUUCGUGGUGUAGCGGUGAAAUGCUUAGAUAUCACGAAGAACUCCGAUUGCGAAGGCAGUUCACUGGACUGCAACUGACACUGAGGCUCGAAAGUGUGGGUAUCAAACAGGAUUAGAUACCCCAGUAGUC
rnacentral:rRNA from 1 species